CCACAGAAGCUGCUGUAAAAGUUGGUCCAUUGAAUCUUCAACAGCAAAAGACUAUGUUUCGCGAGUCAUUCCUAGUUUCUCGUCAAGUUCGGCUUCCAAUGCAUCUAAAAAUAGCGGAAAACAGUCAUCUUGGGAUGAAGACGAAUGGGCUGCAAGUAGCUACCAAAGUUAUAAUCAUGAGAAUCUAUCUCGUCAGAAAGAACAAUUUUUUGCAAAAAAGCAACAAGAAAAUGCUUCUAGACCUGAUUAUGAAAAAUAUUUCCAUUUUUCUAAUAUUUGAAUCAUCUUCUUGUCUUCACUAUCCUCAAUCGCAAAUACAGCCACCAAAGUAGCUUCAAAGGCGUCUGAAAACGCUUUGAAAAUUGGUUCGAUUGCUUCACAAAAAGCUGCUGAUAUUGCUGGAACUCUAACAGGAAAAGCUAAACUCAUUUAUGAGUUUUAUUUAUUAAUAAGUUUGAACCUCCUUUAUUCAUUAUUUUUUUUCAUUUGUUUUUUCCUGGCUUGUUUU